UAUUAUAACAGCUUAGCUCUUCAAAUAAACUUCUACACAAAAACAAGUUCUCACUCAAUUAACACGAUGUUAUCGGCUUAUAAUUUUCGGACCCGA